rnacentral:tRNA from 1 species
GCGGGAANUAGCUCAGUUGGUAGAGCACGACCUUGCCAAGGUCGGGGUCGCGAGUUCGAGUCUCGUUUCCCGCUCCA